rnacentral:sRNA from 1 species
GAAAUAAAAAGAAAAUGAAUGGUCGAUUUGUUAUAGUAUAAUACAGGAAUGAGUCUAGAAGGUUCUUAAACAUUAACUUGAUUGAUGAGACCCAGCGAUGAGAACCUAAUGGAUAUAGUUGAGUGCUUUGGUAUGGAAUCUAGGAUGUUGUGUGGGCUAGCGGAAAAUUACAUAGUGGUCAGGAUUUGACUAGAACUGUUUAGUGCAUGGAUUAGGUUUGUAUGAUCAGGGUAAUAAGCUAGAGAUAUUGGAAGUUCCUAUGUUUUUAAACCUCUUCCACGAGUUUGGCUUUUGUGUUUGACCUGAGGGCAAGCAAAAGCUAAGUCUGGGGAAGUUGAUAUACCUCGAUUUUUACUGCUUUUAGCUAUGAUUUAGGUAUAGUUUUUAGAGUCCUUUUGUUAUUUGUAGAGUCUUUUCUAGUCUUUUUCAGGUCUUUACAUGUUUGGGAUGCAUUUGCAGAUUAUGGAGCAUUCUGGAGCAAAACAGACAACUUAAGCUGCGACAACAAUCCAGAGACGAAAAUUGACGUAGGUGUCGAUCAACACAAUCCCUAGUGUCGAGAAACACCAAUACCUGACGGCAAUUGAAUUGCACAACUUAUUGAUGUUUUGAAGAUUUUCAAAUUCGGCACAGAACUUGUUCCUAUUUCUAAAGAAGUCCCUGCACGUUUUAGGUCAUAUAUAUAUAUAUAUAUAUAUAUAUAUAUAUAUAUAUAUAGUUUUAAAGGUUAUCGUUUAGACCUAACUCUUAUUAUCUCUUUUAU